rnacentral:rRNA from 1 species
UCGAGCGGAGAAUGUGGAGCUUGCUCCACAUUCUUAGCGGCGGACGGGUGAGUAACACGUGGGCAACCUGCCCUGCAGAUCGGGAUAACUCCGGGAAACCGGUGCUAAUACCGAAUAGUUUGGGGCCUCUCCUGAGGCCCUACGGAAAGACGGUUUCGGCUGUCACUGCAGGAUGGGCCCGCGGCGCAUUAGCUAGUUGGUGGGGUAAUGGCCCACCAAGGCGACGAUGCGUAGCCGACCUGAGAGGGUGAUCGGCCACACUGGGACUGAGACACGGCCCA